GACGAACGCUGGCGGCGUGCUUAACACAUGCAAGUCGAACGGAAAGGCCCUGCUUUUGUGGGGUGCUCGAGUGGCGAACGGGUGAGUAACACGUGAGUAUCCUGCCCUUGACUUUGGGAUAACUUCAGGAAACUGGGGCUAAUACCGGCUAGGAGCUCCUGCUGCAUGGUGGGGGUUGGACAGUUUCGGCGGUUGGGGAUGGACUCGCGGCUUAUCAGCUUGUUGGUGGGGUAGUGGCUUACCAAGGCUUUGACGGGUAGCCGGCCUGAGAGGGUGAACGGCCACAAGGGGACUGAGAGACGGACCAGACUCCUACGGGAGGCAGCAGUGGGGAAUAUUGCACAAUGGGCGGAAGCCUGAUGAAGAAACGCCGCGUGCGGGAUGACGGCCUUCGGGGUGUAAACCGCUGUCGCCUGUGACGAAGCGUGAGUGACGGUAAUGGGUAAAGAAGCACCGGCUAACUACGUG
rnacentral:rRNA from 1 species